rnacentral:rRNA from 1 species
UACGUAGGCAGCGAGCGUUGUUCGGAAUUACUGGGCGUAAAGAGUGUGUAGGCGGUGCUCUAAGUUCGGUGUGAAAUCUCCCGGCUUAACUGGGAGGGUGCGCCGGAAACUGGAGUGCUCGAGCGUGGGAGAGGAAAGCGGAAGUUACCUCGGGUGUAGCGGUGAAAUGCGUAGAUAUCAGGAGGAACACCGGUGGCGAAGGCGGGUCUCUGGGCCGAUACUGACGCUGAGGAGCGAAAGCGUGGGGAGCGAACAGG